GUGCCUUGGAUCUGUAGUAAGCAAAAGUCAAGGCAGUGGUGAGAGCUUCAAAUAAUUUGGGAGUUCUUUAAAAAAUGGGAGGUUUUUGAACUUGAAAGGCAAGAACAAAAAAACCCUAGUAACGUUUAUAUAGGAGACUCCAGAAGAGCCUCUGCUAAUUGGUUAUUUGCUGACAGCCUCACACACAAACAGGGGGCUGGAGGGGGACUUCGGAAGCCUGUGCUCAGGUUCUGGCUCUGUUGGACUCUAGGUGUUGACCGUGAUCAAAUCAACUUUCUUCUCUGGGCCCUAGCUCUUCUAUCUGUAAAAUAAUCAACAUCCAGGCCCCCACACAUUGUCCAAGUUGAAACAACUGGCAAGAACACAGUAGGAUUGCACCCUAAGUCUGAGAAAGUGCACAAUCAUGUUUCAUAGCACAAUAGUAUGGAAGAGAGCUGGCCGUGCUAGAAAAGGCACAGGAAUUUUAGAAGAGCAUUCUAACUAGUAUCUAGAUAUCUAUCUAUAUAUACAUAUUUCUAUCUCUAUCGCUUGGCUCUCUGAUGCUUUCAGGAUAAAGUCAUUUGAGCAUAAUAUACAAAACCCUUUAUAAUUUGCCCUUGACUUCUGCCCCGUCCUGGACUCCAGUCCUGCCAUUCCCAAACACAUGACGUUCUUUUACACUUUCAUGCUUUGACACAUGAUUUUUUUGAAAUCAUUCCACACUCCCCAUCAGACAAACCCCAUUUUUAAGCCCCGGUUCAAAAGCAACUCCUUCUGGGAUGCCUUUCCUCCCCCGCCACACAGCAAACUGCUCGCUGGAAAUCCCACAGCACUUACCAUGGUAACUUAUCUGCUGAGUUUUUUCAAACUGUAGGUUACCGUCAUUAUUUUAAAACAACAUAUUAAUAAAACACAGUAGAAAAUACCACUGGCAUCACAUCUAUUAAGUCUGGGUCGUGAACCUUUUGUUUCGGUUACAGCAGCAAGAAUGUGAGCACUGGUUACAUGCAAACUACAUUCUUAUCAUGGGCUGCUCUCAAAAAAAUCUGAAACUCAUAUACUCCUAUCUCCCCCAUUAGACAGGAUGCUGUUUCUCCAAGGCAGCUGGCGAGUUUUAUUCUUUUUCCUGUCUCCAGUGCCUGGUACAAGCCUUGACACACAGCAUGGUCUGUGACCAGAGGAAUGGGCAUCACCCAGGAAAUGCAGACUCUCAGGCCCCAUCCAAGACCUGCUGAAUCGGAGCCUGCACCUUAACAAGAGCCUCCAGUCGUUGGUCUGCACACUCAAUAUUGACAAAUAUGGAUCAGACCUUUCUGAGAUUCUUCCUUUCACAUAUAAAAUAAAAAUAAAUAUUUCACUUAAUGAGGAUUAAGUGGGAGAAUCUAUGCACUUUAGUUUGUU
rnacentral:lncRNA from 1 species